ACGGCUCAGUAACACGUGGACAACCUACCCUUGGGGCCAGUAUAAUCCUGGGAAACUGGGCAUAAUGCUGGAUAGGUCACAAUUGCUGGAAUGCAUUGUGACUCAAAGCUCCGGCGCCCAAGGAUGGGUCUGCGGCCUAUCAGGGUAGUAGUGGGUGUAAUGUACCUACUAGCCUACGACGGGUACGGGUUGUGAGAGCAAGAGCCCGGAGAUGGAUUCUGAGACACGAAUCCAGGCCCUACGGGGUGCAGCAGGCGCGAAAACUUUACAAUGCGGGAAACCGUGAUAAGGGGAUCUCGAGUGCCAGCAUAUAAUGUUGGCUGUCCAGAUGCUUAAAAAGCAUUUGUUAGCAAGGGCCGGGCAAGACCGGUGCCAGCCGCCGCGGUAACACCGGCGGCCCGAGUGGUAACCGUUAUUAUUGGGUCUAAAGGGUCUGUAGCCGGCCAAGUAAGUCCUUUGGGAAAUCUGGUAGCUCAACUAUCAGGCUGCCAGGGGAUACUGCUUGGCUUGGGACCGGGAGAGGUGAGAGGUACCUCAGGGGUAGGGGUGAAAUCUUGUGAUCCUUGAGGGACCACCAGUGGCGAAGGCGUCUCACCAGAACGGGUCCGACGGUAAGGGACGAAAGCUAGGGGCGCGAACCGGAUUAGAUACCCGGGUAGUCCUAGCCGUAAACGAUGCUCGCUAGGUGUCAGUCACGGUGCGACCGUGAUUGGUGCCGUAGGGAAGCCGUGAAGCGAGCCACCUGGGAAGUAUGGCCGCAAGGCUGAAACUUAAAGGAAUUGGCGGGGGAG
rnacentral:rRNA from 1 species